CCCUUAGAUGUUCUGGGCCGCACGCGCGCUACACUGACGAAUGCAACGAGCUUAUAACCUUGUCCGAAAGGUCUGGGUAAUCUCCAAAUUUCGUCGUGAUGGGGAUAGAUUAUUGCAAUUAUUAAUCUUCAACGAGGAAUGCCCAGUAAGCGCAAGUCAUCAGCUUGCGUUGAUUACGUCCCUGCCCUUUGUACACACCGCCCGUCGCUCCUACCGAUUGAAUGGUCCGGUGAAGCGUUCGGACCGUGGCCUUUGGACGGUUCGCCGUCUGUUGGCUGCGGGAAGUUCGUUAAACCUUAUCAUUUAGAGGAAGGAGAAGUCGUAACA
rnacentral:rRNA from 1 species